rnacentral:rRNA from 1 species
UACGGAGGGGGGCGAGCGUUAUUCGGAAUUAUUGGGCGUAAAGGGCGCGUAGGCGGCUGAACAAGUCAAAGGUGAAAUCCCUCGGCUCAACUGAGGAACUGCCUUUGAAACUGUUCGGCUUGAGGCCGGGAGGGGGGUAGCGGAAUUCCCAGUGUAGCGGUGAAAUGCGUAGAUAUUGGGAGGAACACCAGUGGCGAAGGCGGCUACCUGGACCGGUUCUGGACGCUGAGGCGCGAAAGCGUGGGUAGCAAACAGG